GGUACAUCAAUUGAGGGUGUUGAGAAGGGUGGGUACACUAUCUCUGACAACUCAACUGGCAACAAGCCGGACUUCAUCAUAAUGAGUACUGGUUCUGAACUAGAGAUUGCUGUCAAGGCUGCCGAAGAGUUGACGAAGGAGGGGAAGACUGUCCGUGUUGUGUCAUUUGUUUGCUGGGAACUUUUCGACGACCAGUCAGAUGAAUACAAGGAGAGCGUUCUCCCUGAGGCUGUCACUGCAAGAAUCAGCAUUGAGGCAGGGUCUACUCUUGGAUGGCAAAAGUAUGUCGGAUCUAAGGGCAAGACCAUUGGCAUCGACAAAUUCGGUGCUAGUGCUCCUGCUGGGAUUAUCUACAAGGAGUACGGUAUCACCGCGGAGAGCGUCAUUGCUGCAGCCAAGAGCCUCUAAGAUCAUACAGUUCAGAGUUUUUGUCAUCAUUGAUGUCAAUGAACACUACAAAGUUUCGAGCCU
rnacentral:lncRNA from 1 species